rnacentral:rRNA from 1 species
ACUAUCUUUAGAUAAAUUUGUAUAUGUUAAGGUGGUUAAAAUUAUUUAUUUUAUAAACAUCAUUAUGUUAAGUAGAGGUGAUCAAAACUUAAUUUUGUUAUUAUUACAAGUACUGAAAAGGAAUAAUAGUUUUAAUUGUGUUAAAGAAUAGUUUUAUCUAGUACCUUUUGCAUUAUGGUUUAACUAGAUUUACUUUAUAGAUAUAAUUUCUCGAAGUUAAAUGAGCUAUUUUGGAUCUAAUUUAUAGGUUAUAUAAAUUUAACUGUUGCAGAAGUUUAUUAAGAAUUCAAAAUAGGUAUGAAAUUUUUUUCGCAUUUGACGAUAGCUAGUUUUCCCUAAAUUGUAUAUAUGUACUUAAAAUUAAGUAAUUAUAUUAAAAUUUCGUUUUAAUGUAAUUUUUUAGUUUUGUUAUAUUUCUGAGGAUAAGCUCAGAAAUAGAAAUUUACAUUGAUUUUUCUAUUAAAUUUAGGCUUGAAAAUAGCCAUAAUAUAAAGUUUGUUUUAAUUUAUUUUUAACGGGAAAAUAAAAUUUAUAUGUUUUAUGGAAAGGGAAGUAUGUAUAAAAUUUUUAAUAUACAUAAAUUUAUGUUAAAAUGAGUAUUAAAGUUAUAUAUAAAAUUUUAUUAAAAGAAUUAAAGGAAAAGCAAAUUUUUUUGGUUUAAAGAUUAAAUUAUUAAAAGGAACUCGGCAAAUAUUUACUUCGCCUGUUUAACAAAAACAUGGCUCCAUGUUUACAUAGUAUAUGGAGUCUUACCUGCCCAGUGAUUUAUUUAACGGCCGCGGUACUCUGACCGUGCGAAGGUAGCAUAAUAAUUUGUCCUAUAAUUGGGGACUAGAAUGAAUGGUUUGACGAAAGUAAUACUGUCUCUUUUUAAUUUUAUAGAAUUUUACUUCUAGGUGAAAAGGCCUAGAGUUUUAUUAAAAGACAAGAAGACCCUAUCGAGCUUAGAAAUAUUUUUGUGAUUUAUAGAUUUAUAAUUUUAGAUAAAUUUUCAUGAAACAUUUUAGUUGGGGCGACUAAGGAACAAAAGAAGCUUCCUUAUAGUUGAAAUACUUUCAAGUGUUGAUCCAGUUUUAUUGAUUAAGGGAAAUAGUUACCGUAGGGAUAACAGCAUUAUCUUUUUUGAGAGUUCUUAUUGAAAAAAAGGUUUGUGACCUCGAUGUUGAAUCAGAAUAUCCUGAAGAUGCAGAAGUCUUCAAAGGUUGGUCUGUUCGACCAUUAAAAUUCUACGUGAUUUGAGUUCAGACCGGCGUGAGCCAGGUCAGUUUCUAUCUUUAAUUUAUUUUUUAAGUUUAGUACGAAAGGACCAACUUAAAAUAUUAUAUAUUUAAUUAGAAUAAUUAUAAUAAUUUAAAGUGAGCUUU